UACGUAGGGUGCAAGCGUUAUCCGGAUUUACUGGGUGUAAAGGGCGAGUAGACGGCGAUGCAAGUCAGAUGUGAAAUGCUAGGGCUUAACCUUAGAACUGCAUCUGAAACUGUAUUGCUAGAGUGCAGGAGAGGUAAACGGAAUUCCUAGUGUAGCGGUGAAAUGCGUAGAUAUUAGGAGGAACAUCAGUGGCGAAGGCGGUUUACUGGACUGUAACUGACGUUGAGGCGCGAAAGCGUG
rnacentral:rRNA from 1 species